rnacentral:misc_RNA from 1 species
AAGUCGUAACAAGGUUUCCGUAGGUGAACCUGCGGAAGGAUCAUUACCGAGUGGCGCGAAAUUCCUGUCGUGAGACGGGGAAGCUACCCGACCUUUUGUCAUUUUGUCGAGUCUGGCUGGCGGGAUUGCAUUCGUGAGAAGCGAAUGUGGAUUUCGGCAGACGGACCAAAACUUCGGCGGAAGAGGUAGGCGUUGACCUGCCCGCCGCCGGCCGUAGAAGACAAUACACAUUCUUGAGAGCAAACUGAAGUCUAAGACGAUACUUGAAAAAGAAAUAGUAAAAAAGCAAAACUUUCAACAACGGAUCUCUUGGCUCUG